rnacentral:rRNA from 1 species
CCUACGGGUGACAGCAGUGAGGAAUAUUGGUCAAUGGCCGGAAGGCUGAACCAGCCACGCCGCGUGAAGGACGAAGGUGCCAAGCAUUGUAAACUUCUUUUGUCAAGGGACAAAAUCAGGCUCGAGAGCCUGACCGCGGGUACUUGAAGAAAAAGCAUCGGCUACCUCCGUGCCAGCAGCCGCGGUACUACGGAGGAUGCGAGCGUUAUCCGGAUUUAUUGGGUUUAAAGGGUGCUUAGGCGGACUGUUAAGUCAGCGGUAAAAGCCCGGGGCUCAACCCCGGCGAGCCGUUGAAACUGGCUGUCUUGAGAUGUCGAGAGGUAUGCGGAAUGCGCAGUGUAGCGGUGAAAUGCGUAGAUAUUGCGAAGAACUCCGAUUGCGAAGGCAGCAUACCGGCGGCGAUCUGACGCUGAGGCACGAAAGCGUGGGUAUCGAACAGGAUUAGAUACCCGGGUAGUC